rnacentral:rRNA from 1 species
GUGAGGAAUAUUGGUCAAUGGACGAGAGUCUGAACCAGCCAAGUAGCGUGAAGGAUGAAGGUCCUACGGAUUGUAAACUUCUUUUAUAAGGGAAUAAACCCUCCCACGUGUGGGAGCUUGUAUGUACCUUAUGAAUAAGCAUCGGCUAACUCCGUGCCAGCAGCCGCGGUAAUACGGAGGAUGCGAGCGUUAUCCGGAUUUAUUGGGUUUAAAGGGAGCGCAGACGGGUCGUUAAGUCAGCUGUGAAAGUUUGGGGCUCAACCUUAAAAUUGCAGUUGAUACUGGCGUCCUUGAGUGCGGUUGAGGUGUGCGGAAUUCGUGGUGUAGCGGUGAAAUGCUUAGAUAUCACGAAGAACUCCGAUUGCGAAGGCAGCACACUAAUCCGUAACUGACGUUCAUGCUCGAAAGUGUGGGUAUCAAACAGGAUUAGAAACCCGAGUAGUCC